UCCCUACAGGACUAGCGGUUAGGCCUCUGUGCUCUCACCUCUGCAGCCUGGGUUCGAUUCGUGGCCAGGGAA